UACGAAGGGUGCCAGCGUUAAUCGGAAUUACUGGGCGUAAAGCGCGCGUAGGUGGUUCGUUAAGUUGGAUGUGAAAGCCCCGGGCUCAACCUGGGAACUGCAUCCAAAACUGGCGAGCUAGAGUAUGGCAGAGGGUGGUGGAAUUUCCUGUGUAGCGGUGAAAUGCGUAGAUAUAGGAAGGAACACCAGUGGCGAAGGCGACCACCUGGGCUAAUACGGACACGGAGGUGAGAAAGCGGGGGGAGCAAACAGGAGGAGAUAACCCCGGAGUCC
rnacentral:rRNA from 1 species